CAGGAUAUAGCUAAGUGGUAGAGCACUUGUCUAGCAUGCUUGAGGCCCUGGGCUCAAUACCCCAAUACCCGGU
rnacentral:tRNA from 1 species